rnacentral:rRNA from 1 species
GGAAUCAAGCUGUUAAGGGCAUAGAGUGAAUGCCUUGGUGCCAACAGGCGAUGAAGGACGUGAUAAGCUGCGAUAAGCUUCGGAGAGCCGCACACAGGCUUUGACCCGGAGAUUUCCGAAUGGGGUAACCUGAUUCCAGUAAUAUGGAAUCGUUCCAUCCUGAAUAAAAUAGGGAUGGAUACGCGAUACCUGGUGAAGUGAAACAUCUCAGUAACCAGAGGAAAAGAAAACGAAUGUGAUUCCGUAAGUAGCGGCGAGCGAAAGCGGAAUAGCCCAAACCGGGGCCUUUGGUCCCGGGGUUGUAGGACCCUUGAUGGGACCUCGGAAGGUAGUCUAAAACGUUGGAAAGCGUUUCCAUAGCGGGUGACAGGCCCGUGGACGAAACCGGAAGAGGCCCUGUGGAGUUCCUGAGUAGCGCAGCACACGUGAAACGUUGCGUGAAUCUGCCCCGACCACGGGGUAAGGCUAAAUACUAGUUGGCGACCGAUAGUGAACCAGUACCGUGAGGGAAAGGUGAAAAGUACCGCUGCGAGCGGAGUGAAAUAGAACCUGAAACCCUAUGCCUACAAGGUGUCAGAGCCCCUUUGGGGGUGAUGGCGUGCCUUUUGCUUAAUGAGUCUGCGAGUUACUCUCUGUGGCAAGCUUAAGGUCUUUUGGACCGGAGGCGUAGCGAAAGCGAGUCCGAAUAGGGCGAUUAGUUGCAGGGGGUAGACCCGAAGCGGAGGUGACCUACCCAUGGCCAGGUUGAAGCGUGAGUAAAAUCACGUGGAGGACCGAACCGUUGUGUGUUGAAAAACGCUCGGAUGAGCUGUGGGUAGGAGUGAAAGGCUAAUCAAACCCCGUGAUAGCUGGUUCUCUCCGAAAUGCAUUUAGGUGCAGCGUCACGUGCUGAAGGACGGGGGUAGAGCACUGAAAGGGCUAGGGGGCAUACCCGCCUACCAACCCCUAUCAAACUCCGAAUACCGUCCGGUGGAGCGUGGCAGUGAGACAGUGGGGGAUAAGCUUCAUUGUCGAAAGGGAAACAGCCCAGAUCAGCAGCUAAGGUGCCUAAAGUACGCUAAGUGGAAAGGAGGUGGAGUCUCAUAGACAGUGAGGAUGUUGGCUUAGAAGCAGCCACCAUUUAAAAAAAGCGUAACAGCUUACUCAUCGAGAGACUCUGCGCCGAAAAUAAUUGGCGAUAAGCGUGCUACCGAAGCUCUGGAUGUCAUCCUUAUGGAUGGCGUGGUAGGAGAGCGUUCCCAGUGCAGCGAAGGGUGAUGGUGACUGACCCUGGAGCGCUGGGAAGUGAGUAUGCAGACAUGAGUAACGAUAAGACCGGUGAAAUCCCGGUCCGCCGUAAACCCAAGGUUUCCCGGGCAACGUUUUUCGUCCCGGGGUUAGUCGGGACCUAAGCCGAGGCCGAUAGGCGUAGGCGAUGGAAAGCAGGUCAAUAUUCCUGCACCUCCGACCCUUAAACUGGGGGGACGCGGUUUGAAAAGUAGCUAGGUUAUUGAAUUCCGAGAUGAUCCUACGGGUGAUUCGCACUACCAGACAAACCGCCAAGAAAAGCCCCAGCAUAUGCUAAGGAGCCCGUACCGUAAACCGACACAGGUGGGUGGGUAGAGUAUACCAAGGCGCAAGAGUGAAACCUGGUUAAGGAACUCGGCAAAAUGGCUCCGUAACUUCGGGAUAAGGAGUGCCCCUUUUGGGGGCCGCAGUGAAUUGGCCCAUCCGACUGUUUAGCAAAAACACAGCAUUGUGCUAAGGCGUAAGCCGACGUAUACGAUGUGACACGUGACCAAUGCCAAAAGAUUACGGUAAGGUGUUAGCCCUCGUGGCGAAGCUCCGAGCCCAAGUCCUGGUGAAUGUCGGCCGUAACUAUAACGGUCCUAAGGUAGCGAAAUUCCUUGUCGGGUAAGUUCCGACCUGCACGAAUCGUGCAACG